UAAUACAGAGGGUGCAAGCGUUAAUCGGAUUUACUGGGCGUAAAGCGAGUGUAGGUGGCCGCGUAAGUCGGUUGUGAAAUCCCUGGGCUCAACCUGGGAAUUGCAGCCGAUACUGCGUGGCUCGAGUUCGGUAGAGGGCAGCAGAAUUCCCGGUGUAGCGGUGAAAUGCGUAGAUAUCGGGAGGAAUACCGAUGGCGAAGGCAACUGCCUGGGCCUGAACUGACACUGUGACUCGAAAGCGUGGGUAGCAAACAGGAUUAGAUACCCUGGUAGUCCACGCCGUAAACGAUGGGAACCUGACGUCGGUCUGCUCUGCGGAUCGGUGUCGUAGCUAACGCGCUAAGUUCCCCGCCUGGGGAGUACGGCCGCAAGGUUG
rnacentral:rRNA from 1 species